AAGCAGGCAGUCACUGGUCGUGGACAGGAAGACUCUCUCCGGCCAUCUCAGCUGUGGUCCUCUAACCUGUGCCUGUGAGCCACCAAGAGUGAACGGAAACUAGAAGCAUUGCCACCAACAACUGGAGCAGUGACCACACUGAAGUUUCUCUGUCGAGGGGGAAGGGGAGUAAGGAGAAAAAAAAAAAAAAAAGGCAAGUAAGCAAGCAAGCCAGCAAGCACAGGAGCACACUCUCGUGGAGGCCCACACCCUCCCUGUGCCUACCCAAGAUGUGUCAGUCAGAGAAGCAUCCAGGACCGGAGCUCCAAGCAGCAGCAAAAUGGUGAGAUGCUGCCCAUGAGACCUAACCCUCAAUGUACCCCGGCAUAGUUUCAGGAGGGUCAGACACCAAGUCCAGUGGCCUCAGGGGCAGGGGGAGUGACUAAAGGGGCUUGGAGAGGGAGUCCUCUGUGCCCUGAGUAGGAGACUCACUUCAGGUACCCAUGGCUCUGGCUGGGGGAAUGGGGUAAGGCAGGGGAAGCAGUGGGCUUCUAUCCUGUGUCUUGGUCUUUGGCAAGGGCACCGAGGCCCCCUUUUUCCUCCCUAGACCCCUGCUUCCUCU
rnacentral:lncRNA from 1 species